AAACUGUAAAAUUUUCUGCCUGCAACAAUUAAGAUAAGAAAUAUUCAGAGUUCACACUUCUCAGCUAAAAUGGCAGUGUCCCCUGUAGCUGGUCUCAACUCCAAGCUUUCACUUCCUUCAGGGAAGCAGCAACACUCCAAAUUCACUGGCCAAUCAGUGAGAGCAAUACCUAUACGCAUAUUAACUGUGGGGAAGAAUAGGUCACAUGGAGUGCAGUUAAUAGUUGAUGAGUAUAUGAAGAAGCUCAGGAAUUAUUGUAGUGUUGAUGAUGUUCGAAUAAAGUCUAAUCCCAAAAAUGCACGUGAUGUAGUGGCUCAAAUUGAACAUGAGGACAUUGCUGUUAUGGGCCUCAUCAGGCCUGAUGAAUGGGUUGUAAUGUUGGAUGAGCGUGGUCAUGAUGUGGGAUCCGAGCAGAUGGCUUCUUUAAUCGGAGACGCUGGAAACAAGGGAGCAUCAAGCUUACUCUUUUGCAUUGGUGGACCUUAUGGACAUGGUAGACAAUUGCGAGAGAGAGCUAACGUAUCAGUUAAAUUGUCAUCCUUAGUCUUGAAUCAUGAGAUUGCCUUAGUUGUACUGAUAGAACAACUUUACAGGUCAGAGACUGGAACAAACUAUUAUUCUUUUGAAGUGCUGGUGCUGCUAACCGCUCCCCCAGUCCCUCAUUUAUGCUGAGGGUGGACCAUUCUUAAAGGACAGAAAUACCAUCACUAGACAUUGAUGUCUUAACCAUGAUAAACCAAUACAGGUACAGGAUUUCUAUUUCUUGGAAUUGGAAGAAGGAAUUGAAAUGACUUCCAAAUUUCAUUCAACCACCAUCAGAGCAACUAAACUCAGGUUUGGACUGCCUUUUGAGGAUGACCUUGGCCCCCAUUAUAGAUAUUCGACGUGCCUAAAGAGAAGAAGGUGGUUGAGAAGUGAGCAGAACCUCAUUCUUAGAUCCUAAAAGUCUGUCAAGGUCUUGACACGUCGAAUACUUGAUAUUUUGCUUGGUUUACUACACGGUUUGUGAAACCAGAUAGUACUUCUAUCGCGAUGGUGUGUGUCAUGUCACACCUCUCGAUGUGCCUGUCCAGAUCUAACGUUGCGAUGUUGACAAGCCUGGCCUAGACAUUUUAGCCACCACAAUGAUCUAAUUCAUUAUGCCAUCUUCACUAUUUCUAACGAAUGGAGUAAAGGUUUUGUGUAUUUAUAUCCUUUUUGAGUCUUUGGAUACCAAGUUAGACAAGUAUUGUUUCUUGUGAUAAGAUAUUAUUCAUUUGAAACAUUUGCCAAACCAAUACACAAAAGACACUUUUGUAGACCAAACUAUCUUUUUUAUCUUGUUAGAAAUUAAAAUGGAAUAUAGUAAUUUUCACUUGAUAUA